ACUGAUUGAUGGUGCUUGCACCUGAUUGACGAUGGAUCACCAGUGAGUGGCGGACGGGUGAGUAACACGUAGGUAACCUGCCCCGGAGCGGGGGAUAACAUUUGGAAACAGAUGCUAAUACCGCAUAACAACAAAAGCCACAUGGCUUUUGUUUGAAAGAUGGCUUUGGCUAUCACUCUGGGAUGGACCUGCGGUGCAUUAGCUAGUUGGUAAGGUAACGGCUUACCAAGGCGAUGAUGCAUAGCCGAGUUGAGAGACUGAUCGGCCACAAUGGAACUGAGACACGGUCCAUACUCCUACGGGAGGCAGCAGUAGGGAAUCUUCCACAAUGGGCGCAAGCCUGAUGGAGCAACACCGCGUGAGUGAAGAAGGGUUUCGGCUCGUAAAGCUCUGUUGUUGGAGAA
rnacentral:rRNA from 2 species